rnacentral:rRNA from 1 species
CGUAGGGCGAAGCGUUAUCCGGAUUUACUGGGUGUAAAGGGAGCGUAGACGGAUGGACAAGUCUGAUGUGAAAGGCUGGGGCUCAACCCCGGGACUGCAUUGGAAACUGCCCGUCUUGAGUGCCGGAGAGGUAAGCGGAAUUCCUAGUGUAGCGGUGAAAUGCGUAGAUAUUAGGAGGAACACCAGUGGCGAAGGCGGCUUACUGGACGGUAACUGACGUUGAGGCUCGAAAGCGUGGGGAGCAAAACAGGAUU